rnacentral:rRNA from 1 species
AACGAACGCUGGCGGCAUGCCUAACACAUGCAAGUCGAACGAGACCUUCGGGUCUAGUGGCGCACGGGUUCGUAACGCGUGGGAACCUUCCCUUAGGUUCGGAAUAACUCCCCGAAAGGGGUACUAAUACCGGAUCAUGUCUUCGGACCAAAGAUUUAUCGCCUUUGGAUGGGCCCUCGUUGGAUUAGCUAUUUGGUAGGGUAAAAGCCUACCAAGGCGACAAUCCAUAGCUGGUCUGAGAGAAUGAUCAGCCACACUGAGACUGAGACACGGCACAGACUCCUACGGGAGGCAGCAGUGGGGAAUAUUGGACAAUGGGCGAAAGCCUGAUCCAGCAAUGCCGCGUGAGAGAUGAAGGCCUUAGGGUUGUAAAGCUCUUUUACCCGGGAUGAUAAUGACAGUACCGAGAGAAUAAGCUACGGCUAACUCCGUG